CCUACGGGUGGCAGCAGUGAGGAAUAUUGGUCAAUGGACGGAAGUCUGAACCAGCCAAGCCGCGUGAGGGAGGAAGGCGCAGAGCGUCGCAGACCUCUUUUGCCGGGGGACAAAAGGCCGGACUCGUCCGGUCCUGAGGGUACCCGGAGAAAAAGCAUCGGCUAACUCCGUGCCAGCAGCCGCGGUAAUACGGAGGAUGCGAGCGUUAUCCGGAUUCAUUGGGUUUAAAGGGUGCGUAGGCGGGCAUUUAAGCCGGCGGUCAAAUGUCGGGGCUCAACCCCGGCCUGCCGUCGGAACUGGGUGCCUUGAGUGGGCGAGAAGUAUGCGGAAUGCGUGGUGUAGCGGUGAAAUGCAUAGAUAUCACGCAGAACCCCGAUUGCGAAGGCAGCAUACCGGCGCCCUACUGACGCUGAGGCACGAAAGUGCGGGUAUCGAACAGGAUUAGAUACCCUUGUAGUC
rnacentral:rRNA from 1 species